GCUCUGUACUUAUUCAUCCCGUCAUUGUGUUAUUGUGCAAAUGUAAAAAAAAUAUUCGUGUCUUUCAUUUUUGCAAAUGUGCUUUGUCUAUAUGCCUUUUUGUGUUUCAUUUAUAAAUAAGACGAAACUCUGUACUUUAACAUCCUGCCAUUGUGUUAUUGUGUUAUUGUGCAAUGGUAAAUUUUUGUAUUCUUGUCUUUAAUUUUUACUAAUUGCUUUGUCUAUAUGCCUUUUUGUGCUUUUUUGUUACACAUUGGUUUGUUUAUAUAGUGAUUAAGAUUAUAAAAC
rnacentral:lncRNA from 1 species